AGUAUCCUUCUUAACAUACCUCAUGAUGGUUUCUGCAUGGUGUCUCGCUUUUUUGGCCAUAGUUUCCUCGGUCCAGGCCAGUCCGUUGACCGAAGCCUUGAAGCCGGUGGAUGCGCCUCCACUCGGCCCUAUGUUCCGAGGCAAACUGACAGGAUCUUCCUUAGAUAGUCCCAAGAGGGGCGUCACUAUUUCGGGACUUACCGAUGUAGAGAAAGAGAGCAUCGUCUCCAGACAUAACAGCUACAGAGGUGAUGUAAGCCCUUCCGCUUCCAACAUGGUCCCGCUGGAAUGGAACGAUGAGCUGGCUCAGAUGGCUCAGUCUUGGGCUGAUCAAUGUACCUUCAGUCAUAACUCAGCCGAUGAUCGUGAGACUAAUGAUUGGUGGUGGGUCGGGCAGAAUCUAGCCUAUGGUUAUGGCUAUUCUAUGAACGACUACAUGGAUCUGUGGAACGAUGAGAAGGUCGAUUAUGACUUCAACUCCAACUCUUGCGCAUCUGGCGCUAUAUGUGGACACUACACGCAGGCUGUGUGGGCUGAGAGCACUGAUAUUGGAUGUGGAUGGGCUACAUGUGAUUACAGAUCGGGGUGGAGGGUGUAUCCCUUUGAUUAUCUCGUCUGUAACUACGGCCCUGGGGGUAACUUUAAUGGCAAUUCUCCAUAUACAUCGGGCAGUUCUUGUAGCCGUUGCCCUAGUGGAUAUGUUGCAGGAUGUGACGGUAAUCUGUGUCAAUAGACGAACUAACUACCAUACUGAGUACAUGUUCCCGAUGAUCAACAUCGACAUGAGAAGAAUGUCCACCACCAAGAAAGCACUUCAAACUCAAAAUGGCGUCGGUUACCAUAAUUCAUAAAGUCGUGUGAUACACCUUCUAUGACACAAAUUAAUUGUAUAAUAAUACGCAUUCAUUUAAUAAUAAAAAUAGAUUUAUGCUACGCAACC
rnacentral:lncRNA from 1 species